GGAACUUGAAGUAUUAAAUUGGGAUGGCAUUAUUUUAUUGAAGUGGGGUUCUAGUUAAUUUACUUUGAGUAAAUUAGAGUGUUCAAAGCAGCCUCUUGGGGCUUUGAAUAGAUUUAGCAUGGGAUAAUAGAAUAGGAUUUGAUAAUCUAUUUGUUGGUUUGAAUUAAUCAAAUAAUGAUUAAUAGGGGACAGUUGGGGGCAUUCAUAUUAAGUGGUUAGCGGUGAAAUGUGUGGACCCACUUAAUAUGAACUAAAGCGAAAGCAUUUGCCAAGGAUGUUUUUCAUUAAUCAAGAACGAAAGUUAAGGGAUCGAAGACGAUUAGAUACCGUCGUAGUCUUGACUGUAAACUAUGCCGACCAGGGAUAUGAGUAGUAUAUUUCAUUAGUUUUCGGAUUAAUGAUACUUCUCCUUAUGCACCUUGUGAGAAAUCAUAAGUUUUUGGGUUCUGGGGGUAAGUAUGGUCGCAAGGCUGAAACUUAAAGGAAUUGACGGAGGG
rnacentral:rRNA from 1 species